rnacentral:rRNA from 1 species
GAUGAACGCUAGCUACAGGCUUAACACAUGCAAGUCGAGGGGAAACGAUAGGGAAAGCUUGCUUUUUCUAGGCGUCGACCGGCGCACGGGUGAGUAACGCGUAUCCAACCUGCCCACCACUUGGGGAUAACCUUGCGAAAGUAAGACUAAUACCCAAUGACGUCUCUAGAAGACAUCUGAAAGAGAUUAAAGAUUUAUCGGUGAUGGAUGGGGAUGCGUCUGAUUAGCUUGUUGGCGGGGUAACGGCCCACCAAGGGGACGAUCAGUAGGGGUUCUGAGAGGAAGGUCCCCCACAUUGGAACUGAGACACGGUCCAAACUCCUACGGGAGGCAGCAGUGAGGAAUAUUGGUCAAUGGGCGAGAGCCUGAACCAGCCAAGUAGCGUGCAGGAUGACGGCCCUAUGGGUUGUAAACUGCUUUUAUAAGGGAAUAAAGUGAGUCUCGUGAGACUUUUUGCAUGUACCUUAUGAAUAAGGACCGGCUAAUUCCGUGCCAGCCGCCGCGGUAA